rnacentral:tRNA from 1 species
GAACGGCGGACUGUUAAUCCGUAUGUCACUGGUUCGAGUCCAGUCAGAGGAGCCAUAUUAGAGAAGCCCGCUU